UCAUAUGCUUGUCUCAAAGAUUAAGCCAUGCAUGUCUAAGUAUAAGCUUGUUUAUACGGCGAGACUGCGGAUGGCUCAUUAAAUCAGUUAUAGUUUAUUUGAUGGUCUCUUUUGUCUUUUUUUACCUACUUGGAUAACCGUGGUAAUUCUAGAGCUAAUACAUGCGCAAGGUCCCGAGCGCGGGGGGCGGGGCUUCACGGCUCCGUCCUCGCAUGCGCAGAGGGAUGUAUUUAUUAGGUUAAAAACCAGCGUAUCAGCACUGGCUACACACCUACUGGUGAUUCAUAGUAACUCUUUCGGAUCGCAUUCAUGUCCUCCUUCGUGGGGACGGCAACGAUUCAUUCAAAUUUCUGCCCUAUCAACUUUCGAUGGUAGGAUAGAGGCCUACCAUUGG
rnacentral:rRNA from 1 species